CAGGACUGGAAGACGCCUGGCUGGCAAGGCAGGAGUAUGUUACAAGGAAAAGUGUUAUCUCAGCAGACUCACCACAGAGUCCACAAGGUGCGGUGCCUCGUCAGUCCCAAUGUACAGCCAAAACAUGGACAGACGCUGGAGAGCAGCAGGUCCUGCAUCCAUGGUGGAAGCCUGGGAACGUUGGUUCUGCCGCUAGCAAAGGAUCAGCGGCAGCCACAGGCACGUCAGCUCAGAUGCAAGAGGGAAGGCCCAGGGAACAAAAGACCAGUGCUACCAGAGGGUUCUGCCCAAAAUUGAGAUGGAGCUUCCAGGAACCAUGUUCAUGCCUGAUACCUGUGGAGGCCAAAGACAGCAUCAGAAUCCCUGGAACUGGAAUUACAGUUGUGAGCCACCUGCUGCAGGAGCUGAGACCCAAACCCAGGUCCUCUGCAAGAGCAACAAUGUUCUUCAGUGCUGAAGAAGCCCUUCUCUGUCCCCGUUCUGUGUUUUAACCGCAGGGGAAUUAUGGUCGUUAUUUCAUUUUACAGUUGAGGAAACUGAGCCUGGAAAAGCCAAGCAGAGAACUUUUGCCAACAUGGCUCCUCCAGGCAAGCUGGUCGGGAUUGGAAUUCAGGCAACUUGGUUCCAAAAUCCUUAUCUGUGACACCAAGCCAAGUCUCAGAAAAAGCCUCAAUAAACGUCACUCCUGUUAACAAAAUUAUAAAUAAUAGGAGGAGGCAGGCAAGUCUGGGAAAAAGUGGGGGCGCUAAUGAAUGUCUCCGCCCACCUCUCAGAUGAGACUGAGCACAGCCCCGAAGACAGCUGUUCGCCACGGCGGUUAGCGUUCUCAGCGCCUGCUUCCUGUCAAGUGGAAAGAUUCAGCCAGCUGAUGCUGAGGCACUUUAAACUCCACGUCAUAACAGUUUAUUCUGAGAGCCCUUGUCACUGCGCAGCAUUUCCCUGGCACUCUGGAAGGCUUUCAGGGUGCUCCGUUCACUUUCCGUCCUUCCGCCCUUAGCCCCUCCGCGCUUGUCCUCCAUUCUCCCUCCGUAUGUCAGUUCCUUGGUGAUCUCAUCCU